rfam:Madurella mycetomatis strain mm55 MMYC01_Sc2063, whole genome shotgun sequence.
GCCCGGCUAGCUCAAUCGGUAGAGCGUGAGACUCUUAANGAUUCUCCNNAAAUUAAUCUCAAGGUUGUGGGUUCGACCCCCACGUCGGGCU